rnacentral:rRNA from 1 species
CGGACGGUGAGUAACGCGUGGAAAACCUGCCGUAUACUGGGGGAUAACACUUAGAAAUAGGUGCUAAUACCGCAUAAGCGCACAGCUUCGCAUGAAGCGGUGUGAAAAACUCUGGUGGUAUACGAUGGUUCCGCGUCUGAUUAGCUAGUUGGUGGGGUAAUGGCCUACCAAGGCAACGAUCAGUAGCCGGCCUGAGAGGGUGAACGGCCACAUUGGGACUGAGACACGGCCCAAACUCCUACGGAAGGCAGCAG